ACUACAGUGUUCCUGGCUAAAGAAAGAUAAAGAAAUCAGGCAGCUUGCAUCGUUUAACAAAACUACAAGUCCCAGUAGCAGCCUGAGCAAGGCAUCACCGGAAGUUGGUCGUUUUGGUAUAAAUACAUCUCCGUGUCCUCCCGGGGUCCUUUCCUGUCAACGGCCUUUCGGAAGAUGGCGGUGCAAAUCUCCAAGAAGAAGAAGUUCGUCGCAGACGGUAUCUUCAAAGCCGAGCUGAACGAGUUCCUGACCCGUGAGCUUGCGGAGGAUGGCUACUCUGGUGUGGAGGUGCGUGUGACCCCAACCAGGACUGAGAUCAUCAUCCUGGCGACAAGGACCCAGAAUGUUCUGGGAGAGAAGGGCCGUUCGGAUCAGAGAGCUGACCGCUGUGGUCCAGAAGCGGUUUGGUUUCCCUGAGGGCAGCGUGGAGCUGUAUGCCGAGAAGGUUGCCACCCGUGGUCUUUGUGCCAUCGCUCAGGCAGAGUCUCUGCGCUACAAGCUGCUGGGAGGCCUGGCUGUGCGUAGCGAGUGAGGAGAAUCUGCCAGUAGUGAAAAAAGCGAGCUCGCAGACAGACUGGGAUCGACAUCGAGCGGGUCAACGUCGUCUUCAACUACGACAUGGCGGAAGAUUCUGACCGAUUUGCACAGGGUUGCCCGUGCCGGUCGCUUUGGCACAAAAGGCCUAGCAGUAACCUUUGUGUCGGCCGAGACCGACGAGGCCAACACGCUGAGCGACGUGAGGGACCGCUUCAAGGUCCACCUGGCCGAGCUGCCGGUUGAGAUCGACAGCUCCUCUUUCAACGAGCAGUCCAGAUGAGUCCUCCGGCCUAGCCGAAGGCUCCUCUUCGUCGACUUUGAAACAGACGUUUCACAGUUUAUUUGAAAGCUCUUCCAAGCUCUGUUUGGAAGGGUGAGGGGUUGUUUUAGUUUUUUUGAUCAAUGGAAUGAAAACUUUUUAUAAAAUGCCAAUUUUACUGUU